rnacentral:rRNA from 1 species
UACGGGGGAGCAAGCGUUGUUCGGAUUUACUGGGCGUAAAGGGCGCGUAGGCGGCGUGACAAGUCACUUGUGAAAUCUCCGGGCUUAACUCGGAACGGUCAAGUGAUACUGUCGUGCUAGAGUACAGAAGGGGCAACUGGAAUUCUCGGUGUAGCGGUGAAAUGCGUAGAUAUCGAGAGGAACACCGUGCGGCGAAGGCGGGUUGCUGGGCUGAUACUGACGCUGAGGCGCGAAAGCCAGGGGAGCGAACGGG